AUGGCAGACCCGAGUGACCAGAUGAUGCUCUUGUCCAAACCAUUGAAGAACCUGAGAAGGAAACUAUCCGAAAGACCACAGCCCUGGAUCGAGAACUUUGGAUUUUUUUUUUUCCCUAGUAUUCCUUCUACAAGUUUGAACAGUGUCGAACCGUCUGCCCGGCUUCCCGUCCCAAGUGAGCGCUCCAACAGAGAGCCUUCUGAUGAGGAGUACGUUGCCAGGGUAACGGAGUGUAAGCAGGAGAACAGCACCUUGCAGAUCACAAAGGCAAAUCUGCAGAAAGAAAUUUCACGCCCGCCCCUGGCUCGGCGCCCGGUGCCAACAGAACACCUUUCAGGAUCCACAGCAACGCAGACAACUGUGGCACUGCAGGGAUAG
rnacentral:lncRNA from 1 species